rnacentral:tRNA from 1 species
GAUAGGUUGGCAGAGUAGUGCCUCCGACUUAGAAUCGGUUCAUGGGGUUGACCCACCUAUUAUC